rnacentral:tRNA from 1 species
AUAAAGUAAGCUAAAAUCUAAGCUAGUGGGUUCAUACCCCACAUAUGAUUAAAUUCCUUUAUU